CGCGUAGGCGGCGCGGUAAGUCUCCUGUGAAACCUCUGGGCUUAACUUAGAGCCUGCAGGGGAAACUGCCGUGCUAGAGUGUGGGAGAGGCGAGUGGAAUUCCCGGUGUAGCGGUGAAACGCGUAGAUAUCGGGAGGAACACCAGUGGCGAAGGCGGCUCGCUGGGCCACAACUGACGCUGAGGCGCGAAAGCUAGGGGAGCAAACAGGAUUAGAUACCCUGGUAGUCCUAGCCUUAAACGAUGAAUGCUUGGUGUGAUCGGUAUCCAAUCCGAUUGUGCCGUAGUUAACGCGAUAAGCAUUCCGCCUGGGGAGUACGGUCGCAAGGCUGAA
rnacentral:rRNA from 1 species